rnacentral:rRNA from 1 species
GGGUUGUGAGGUUAAGCGACUAAGCGUACACGGUGGAUGCCCUGGCAGUCAGAGGCGAUGAAGGACGUGCUAAUCUGCGAUAAGCGUCGGUAAGGUGAUAUGAACCGUUAUAACCGGCGAUUUCCGAAUGGGGAAACCCAGUGUGUUUCGACACACUAUCAUUAACUGAAUCCAUAGGUUAAUGAGGCGAACCGGGGGAACUGAAACAUCUAAGUACCCCGAGGAAAAGAAAUCAACCGAGAUUCCCCCAGUAGCGGCGAGCGAACGGGGAGCAGCCCAGAGCCUGAAUCAGUGUGUGUGUUAGUGGAAGCGUCUGGAAAGGCGCGCGAUACAGGGUGACAGCCCCGUACACAAAAAUGCACAUGCUGUGAGCUCGAUGAGUAGGGCGGGACACGUGGUAUCCUGUCUGAAUAUGGGGGGACCAUCCUCCAAGGCUAAAUACUCCUGACUGACCGAUAGUGAACCAGUACCGUGAGGGAAAGGCGAAAAGAACCCCGGCGAGGGGAGUGAAAAAGAACCUGAAACCGUGUACGUACAAGCAGUGGGAGCACGCUUCGGCGUGUGACUGCGUACCUUUUGUAUAAUGGGUCAGCGACUUAUAUUCUGUAGCAAGGUUAACCGAAUAGGGGAGCCGAAGGGAAACCGAGUCUUAACUGGGCGUUAAGUUGCAGGGUAUAGACCCGAAACCCGGUGAUCUAGCCAUGGGCAGGUUGAAGGUUGGGUAACACUAACUGGAGGACCGAACCGACUAAUGUUGAAAAAUUAGCGGAUGACUUGUGGCUGGGGGUGAAAGGCCAAUCAAACCGGGAGAUAGCUGGUUCUCCCCGAAAGCUAUUUAGGUAGCGCCUCGUGAAUUCAUCUCCGGGGGUAGAGCACUGUUUCGGCAAGGGGGUCAUCCCGACUUACCAACCCGAUGCAAACUGCGAAUACCGGAGAAUGUUAUCACGGGAGACACACGGCGGGUGCUAACGUCCGUCGUGAAGAGGGAAACAACCCAGACCGCCAGCUAAGGUCCCAAAGUCAUGGUUAAGUGGGAAACGAUGUGGGAAGGCCCAGACAGCCAGGAUGUUGGCUUAGAAGCAGCCAUCAUUUAAAGAAAGCGUAAUAGCUCACUGGUCGAGUCGGCCUGCGCGGAAGAUGUAACGGGGCUAAACCAUGCACCGAAGCUGCGGCAGCGACGCUUAUGCGUUGUUGGGUAGGGGAGCGUUCUGUAAGCCUGUGAAGGUGUGCUGUGAGGCAUGCUGGAGGUAUCAGAAGUGCGAAUGCUGACAUAAGUAACGAUAAAGCGGGUGAAAAGCCCGCUCGCCGGAAGACCAAGGGUUCCUGUCCAACGUUAAUCGGGGCAGGGUGAGUCGACCCCUAAGGCGAGGCCGAAAGGCGUAGUCGAUGGGAAACAGGUUAAUAUUCCUGUACUUGGUGUUACUGCGAAGGGGGGACGGAGAAGGCUAUGUUGGCCGGGCGACGGUUGUCCCGGUUUAAGCGUGUAGGCUGGUUUUCCAGGCAAAUCCGGAAAAUCAAGGCUGAGGCGUGAUGACGAGGCACUACGGUGCUGAAGCAACAAAUGCCCUGCUUCCAGGAAAAGCCUCUAAGCAUCAGGUAACAUCAAAUCGUACCCCAAACCGACACAGGUGGUCAGGUAGAGAAUACCAAGGCGCUUGAGAGAACUCGGGUGAAGGAACUAGGCAAAAUGGUGCCGUAACUUCGGGAGAAGGCACGCUGAUAUGUAGGUGAAGCGACUUGCUCGUGGAGCUGAAAUCAGUCGAAGAUACCAGCUGGCUGCAACUGUUUAUUAAAAACACAGCACUGUGCAAACACGAAAGUGGACGUAUACGGUGUGACGCCUGCCCGGUGCCGGAAGGUUAAUUGAUGGGGUUAGCGCAAGCGAAGCUCUUGAUCGAAGCCCCGGUAAACGGCGGCCGUAACUAUAACGGUCCUAAGGUAGCGAAAUUCCUUGUCGGGUAAGUUCCGACCUGCACGAAUGGCGUAAUGAUGGCCAGGCUGUCUCCACCCGAGACUCAGUGAAAUUGAACUCGCUGUGAAGAUGCAGUGUACCCGCGGCAAGACGGAAAGACCCCGUGAACCUUUACUAUAGCUUGACACUGAACAUUGAGCCUUGAUGUGUAGGAUAGGUGGGAGGCUUUGAAGUGUGGACGCCAGUCUGCAUGGAGCCGACCUUGAAAUACCACCCUUUAAUGUUUGAUGUUCUAACGUUGACCCGUAAUCCGGGUUGCGGACAGUGUCUGGUGGGUAGUUUGACUGGGGCGGUCUCCUCCUAAAGAGUAACGGAGGAGCACGAAGGUUGGCUAAUCCUGGUCGGACAUCAGGAGGUUAGUGCAAUGGCAUAAGCCAGCUUGACUGCGAGCGUGACGGCGCGAGCAGGUGCGAAAGCAGGUCAUAGUGAUCCGGUGGUUCUGAAUGGAAGGGCCAUCGCUCAACGGAUAAAAGGUACUCCGGGGAUAACAGGCUGAUACCGCCCAAGAGUUCAUAUCGACGGCGGUGUUUGGCACCUCGAUGUCGGCUCAUCACAUCCUGGGGCUGAAGUAGGUCCCAAGGGUAUGGCUGUUCGCCAUUUAAAGUGGUACGCGAGCUGGGUUUAGAACGUCGUGAGACAGUUCGGUCCCUAUCUGCCGUGGGCGCUGGAGAACUGAGGGGGGCUGCUCCUAGUACGAGAGGACCGGAGUGGACGCAUCACUGGUGUUCGGGUUGUCAUGCCAAUGGCACUGCCCGGUAGCUAAAUGCGGAAGAGAUAAGUGCUGAAAGCAUCUAAGCACGAAACUUGCCCCGAGAUGAGUUCUCCCUGACUCCUUGAGAGUCCUGAAGGAACGUUGAAGACGACGACGUUGAUAGGCCGGGUGUGUAAGCGCAGCGAUGCGUUGAGCUAACCGGUACUAAUGAACCGUGAGGCUUAACCUUACAACGCCGAAGGUGUUU